GGGAGGCAGAGGUUGCGGUGAGCCGAGAUACCACACCACUGCCCACUGCACUCCAGCCUGGGUGACAGAGCAAGACUCCGUCUCAAAAAAAUUAAAAUAAAAUACAAUAAAAUAAAAUAAGGUUAGGACUGCUGAUAUUGGGAAUGGGCAAAGAAGGGAAAAGUAACUACUUUUCCCAUCCAGCUCCUGACAGCCACAAUGUACUGAAUGUCUUGUGCUGGCGUCCCAUCAGUUAAGAGCCUCAUGCUGCAGGAGCUCCCCAGUCUCAACCCUGCAUCCUACUCAUUAGGAAACCACUACCACACAGGCGGCAAAUCACUGAUAAUAAAGCCAGCCUUAGGGCUGAAAACGAGUCACUAGAACACCAGCAAAAUUUCCAUAAUCCCCAAAGAGUUAACGAUUUGCUCAGAUUUCAAGUAAAUUGUUCUUAUUUAUUUGGGUGAACAUUAUACAGUGUUCAAGUUCCAUAACUUUUUAAGUGGAAAUACAGUACAAACGUAGCUAAAGCUAAUUCCCUUUUUUCAGUUCAGACGCUUGGAAAUGAAGACAAAGGGAUAGACAAUUAUCGCUGGCUGUGAGCUGUUGUGGGCACUCCAUUAUCGACACAUUCCUGAAUAGGUGCUGAAUUCCAGCCAGCUGUAGUCCAGACCGGCAUCACUUUUUAAAAAUAACCACUUUCUCUCUUCUUCAACAUAGGUGAUGGCUGCACAACACGGAAUGUACCCAAUGCCACUCAAUUGCACUUGAAAUCUGAUGUGACUAUGUGACAGUUAUGUUACGCAACUUUUACCUCGAUAAAAACACAUCGUUUUCUCCACUCUUUUCAAUAAUUUAAAGAUUGGCUUAAUAAAUAAGGCUUCCCUGAGUACAAGAGAUGAAAUCCUACUCUUAGGUUUGCAGUUAAUCCAGGACUGCAAUGAGGAUGAACAUUUAGCGCCAUGUUGAAUCUCAGUAGAAUUCAAAAAACACAUAGAUUUCCAAAAUAAUCAGAAAAAGCACUUAAUAUCUGCUUCAGUUACUGGGAAGGCUAACACAUGAAAGGCAAGCUGUAUGAUCUGUAUUCUUUCCACGCCCAAGAAGAGAACAAUUCAAGCCACAUGACUUAGAAUAAUGGUUGGCAGAACUCCACCUCUGAAGAGUCUACAGAGGUACCAUUACUCCAUUAGUGAUAAUAGCUAUUGAUCUCCUGGAAGAGCCUGGGGGGGAGGGGGAAUGGAAUAUUUAAGAUAGAAAGAAUUUGAAAGUCUAUUGAUCCCACUAGGAAUAUUUAGAAAAAUUAUGAUAGCCUUUUGCCACCUUUGCCCUCCCACCCCUCAUUGAGUUAAACUGCUUAACUCAGUAACUUCAACAAAAUUAGUAACCCUGAACCUUUUCUCCCCAAGGCAAGUACCAGUAGCCUAUUUAAAAUAUUAACUUCUCAAGAGACUAGUAAAAGUCAAAGGACAAGACAGUAUUGUCUAAUACGUAGGAUACAUCUAGGUGUUCACUCUCCUUCAAUACAAGACUAAACAUCUGUCUUAAAAGACCUAACAUUCCUCUUUCCUUCUUUUCAAAAUACUGCACAAUACAGUACUUCUGUCCUGGUUACCCACAAAGAACUAUCAUUCUGCACAGAUCCCAAUAGUGUUAGCACUAGGAUAAUUUCAUUAAACUCAAAUAAAUUUUAAUCCCUUUAUCAACAGGAUGAUUUCGGCCUUAAAAGAGAGCUCACUUGAGUGGUAAGAUUGGUUUCUUUCUCUGCAGUUUCCAAAUUCUCCACGAUGACUUUUAUAAACAGGAAGAAAAUUUCUUAGGUAGUUGCCAUUUUGGAACACCUACUACAUUUCUUAUUGAAUCCGCACAACUUUUUCAAGUAUUGUCCCAUUUUACAGAUGAGGAAAAUGAGGGACAGAGCCUAUUUCCUUAAAGUCACAGGAAACAGAUUUGAAAAAAGGUUUUUAUUUUACAAACUGUUCUUUCCUCUAUACUGUGAAGGAGCAGAAGCACAAAUCUAGUAAAAAACAAACUUCCCAAAUCUCAACUUAAAAGGUUUUGGAACGGGUUUUCAUUCCCUACUAGUAACUGAAAAUGACUCAGUAGGAAGUCAUCAUUUUUUUAAGGUUUUUAUUAAAACCUGCCAAAUUAAUUAUCUGCAAUAAACACAAGUAUACAUCCCAUCUGUGCACUAGUGUCAUAAACUAUAUUCUUGUUUAAAAUUUCUUUUAUUCCAUAAAUUAUCGUUUAAAAUUUCUACUUUUAUUCCAUCAUUGCCCAGUAUUUUAAAUAAAUGAGAUGAAUGUUUAAAAAUAUAAAAAAGCAUCUUAUAAACUUUUGUGAGAAAGCUAGCAAUAGGGUGAACAAGGCCUAGCUAGAGGUCACAGAUUUGCAUGUCUAAGGGUAAAUGAUAUCCUUAUUUUUUGGACUAAUUCUCAUCUAGUGGAAUAUGAAGUGCUCGAUUCCACCUGGCUUAUCGGCUAAUUUCUGCAUUACCUUGGAUAAAUGCCAUUUGCACACUCCCUACCAGCCCUUAGGUGCAUUGCAGCCUCUGUGUCAUUGUGUGUGACAUCACUUGGUUGCUAUGGAUAUAGGUGCGAGGUCACUCGCUUUCCUGUGGAACUAGAAAUAUGGAAAAGAAAUAUGGAAAAAUUAUAAGAGUCUAAAUAACACGAACUGAAGAUAUUUCCAAUACUGAUACCUAUUAGAAGUGCAACUUACAUCAUUUAAGCAUUAAAACCUUGUAAGACAGCAACUGUGGCCACAGCAGUAUUCCGAAUUUCAGAAUCAGUUCUCUUCAAUAAGACAAAAACCUUUCUUUGUUAACAUAGCUGCUUUAAAUAUAAAGGUAUCAGCAUUGUCCUCUUUUGAGAACCAGUAAAUUUAUUCAAGAAUUGAUCUGUAAUAUCAAUAAUGCUUCAUUUAAAAGAUGUAACACGCAAGGUACACUCCAGCAUCCACUUCACAAUGGAGAUGAAUUUGAAAAUCUUUGUUACAUAAGGCAGGAAAUUAAAUAUUAAGAUAGUGGGGGCCCGAAAUCAUUAGAUUAAUUUUCUACCUUUCAUUUCAUAAUGCUCAAUACUUCCCCCUCCUCUAAUAUCAAACUGGUUGACAGCCCAUUAGAUAAAUGUGGUGUUACUGACAAAAUGGUGCAAUACAGGGAUGAAUCUGCAACCCAGACAAAAUGCGACAACUGGCGAUCGGUAUUCUCUUUUCAUCAGCAUGAAGAUGUACUCGCUUAAACAAAAAAAAGCCUCAGAUGCAUCUAACAACCAAAAAUUUUUAAAAAGACUUUUUCCCCUUUAAAAUAACUCCUCCCAGCCUCCACCCAGUCUAGGCUCUCUGCAAUAUGACAAAUGCAGAAUCUUCUGGAAUGACUUGAUACUGCCUCUCACCACGGCUUUGUUUGCACUAUCAGAUCAGACAGAAUAUUUUUUCCCCCAACUUAUAGGAAUUUCAACAGACGCGUGCCUGUAUUCAAAAAAGAAACGGCAUAUGUCACACGAAUCGAACCAGUCAGCUACAUUCACCACCUUUUAAUUUUACAGGCAAUACCUACCCUUUUCAAUACAAAAACAUUAGGGAAUAAAAUGGAGAUGACAUGUUGAGAAUGAUCAAUGAAAACGCUAGCGAGACAAACGUUCUCCCUUCCUAAAAGCCGGAGGACUUGCUUUGGGCGAAUGGAGAAAGAAGAGCCUUUUGUUAAGAAAAACGUGAGCAAGGUGGUUUCGAUUUUGCACCACGGAGCUCAGGUUUUCAAGAGACCCUAUACAAUGUUUCUGGGAAGAUUCUCAGGGAUGUGUCGGGACAGACAGUGGGGAAGAUUCUGGGGGGGCUGGGGAGGUGGAAAACCGGGAGACCUGCUGAGUGAAUGGGAAAGGCGCCGCCCAGACACCAGGGAGAGAAAGAGGAACCGCAUCCAUGCGGUCCCCCGCCCCCACGCCCAGGCUAGGAGGAGGGGGGAAGUGGGGCACAAAGGAUGCGCACGCCUCCCCGCUCGGGUCCCCUGCACCCCUAGAGCCGCGGGGGCCGGAGACCCCGCUCCCAAGUCCAGCCCCGCGGGACCUCGCC
rnacentral:lncRNA from 10 species